CUACGGAGGGUGCGAGCGUUAAUCGGAAUUACUGGGCGUAAAGCGCGCGUAGGCGGCUUAUUAAGUCAGAUGUGAAAUCCCCGGGCUCAACCUGGGAACUGCAUCUGAUACUGGUAAGCUAGAGUUUUGGAGAGGGAAGUAGAAUUUCAGGUGUAGCGGUGAAAUGCAUAGAGAUCUGAAGGAAUACCAGUGGCGAAGGCGACUUCCUGGCCAAAAACUGACGCUGAGGUGCGAAAGCGUGGGUAGCAAACGGGAUUAGAAACCCUAGUAGUCC
rnacentral:rRNA from 1 species